rnacentral:lncRNA from 1 species
UCCAUGGGGCAGUGCUCACAUCUGUGCCCUUGCUCCCACAUUCCAAGACCCAGCUGCUUACCUCCCAGUCAUCCCUGCCUGACAGGAGGAGGCAGUUCAGUUGAGACUUCAGAUAAACCUACAAAACCAAGAGGGGCCAUAAGGAGCUAGGGACACUGAAACGGAAACGUGGCUUGGGGCACACAAGGCAGCCAGCUCUCACCUUAUGCUCUAGACCCCGUGGAUUCCGGAUCCUGUGCACCCUCAAGACUCUGUCCAAGCCACAGGAGGCUAGUAGGGGCUUUGAAGGGUGGCACUGUAAUCCUCGGACACUGCCUGCCAGCCCCUUCAGACAGCCCAGUAGGCGUCCUGGAGGAGAGGGGGAGGCAUCAGCACUAGCCGGCCAGCCAACAACCAUUGUUUACCGUUUCAGGUCGCUUUAUGUUUCAAUAUUUAUACCUCAACAUAA